GGAAUAUUGCACAAUGGACGGAAGUCUGAUGCAGCGACGCCGCGUGGGUGAUGAAGGGUUUCGGCUCGUAAAACCCUUUUCUGUGUGACGAUAGUGACGGUAGCACAGGAAUAAGCGUCGGCUAACUACGUGCCAGCAGCCGCGGUAAAACGUAGGACGCAAGCGUUAUCCGGAAUUACUGGGCGUAAAGGGCGCGCAGGCGGUCUGAUAAGUUAGGCGUGAAAGCUCCCGGCUAAACCGGGAGAGGUCGUCUGAUACUGUUGGACUAGAGUAUGGCAGAGGCGUGUGGAAUUCCGCGUGUAGUGGUGAAAUGCGUAGAUAUGCGGAGGAACACCAGUGGCGAAGGCGGCACGCUGGGCCAAAACUGACGCUGAGGCGCGAAAGCAUGGGUAGCGAACGGGAUUAGAUACCCGGGUAGUCC
rnacentral:rRNA from 1 species